GUUUACUGUUCUAGAAUCAAUAGAAUAGGUGAAAGAAGGGAGAGAAUGCAUUGAUAGUCUUGCUCGGCGAGCUACUUACUCCCUCUUCUCGUAACCCACCUAUUAUUCAGUCAGUCAAAGAAAGAGAACGACAAAGAAGGUCAGGUAAUUGAGUAGAGUCAAAGAAAGGAGAAGGUUUGCGGUUGAGUCUUUUCAGUUGAAGGAGAAAGAGCAGCAGUUCUCGAAUCAAUAGGUUCCCCGCCUAGAGUGAAGGGACAGGUGCAGGAGUGAAAGGAAUAGAGACUGAGGCUCAGACAGGAGAAAGAAGAAAUAGGUUACAGGUUACAUUACAUCUAGUUCAGUAGUUCAGGAAAUAGAAUUGCUUUACCAAGUUCCAUUAGGAAAAGAAAGGUGAAUGAGUAAGUAGCUGCGAGAAAGAUCAGUGUUUGAAUAAGAAGGAGCAAAUAGAUUGAUAGUUUACGAGGUUCAGUAGUGAUUGAGAAUGCAUCUUGAGUUUCGGCAAAGGAUCGACCAGCAAGGUCAGUUAAAGAAUCGGUUCAGGAAAUGAAAUUGGGAAACCGAGGUGUAGAGGUGAAGGAGCGAAGCAGAGGUUCCGGUUUUCAGUUUCCUUCUUCGUCUUGACUUCCUAAUUACAGAGUGAAAGAAUAUAGAGGAGCGAAGCAGACCGAUAGUUGUAGAGCGAGGGGAAUGAGGGAAUCCCCGUGCCCCAACUUUAUCGAGACUUGAAAGUAAAUAAAAAGGUCCAUCCAAUUAGUUAGAUUUGAAUGAAUGUGUAUAGCAGCAUCUAGCCUUACGAAAGGAGAAAGAGAAGAGACAGAUCUUGUUUACAGUUCAAGAAGAAUAGCCCUACCUAGUUCAAGAAAGAAGGAAGAAGACUACCUACCUUGUUUACAGUUCAAGAAUAGUUCCACCUCAACCCCUAGUGACAGAAUCAGAGAAUGAAAGCAAAAGACGAAGAAAAGAGACAGACCCAUAAGCAUAGGAAAA